rnacentral:rRNA from 1 species
UGGGGGGCCCUUUCGGGAGGCAGCAGUAGGGAAUCUUCCGCAAUGGACGAAAGUCUGACGGAGCAAUGCCGCGUGAGUGACGAAGGUUUUCGGAUCGUAAAACUCUGUUGUGAGGGAAGAACAAGUACCAAUUAACUACUGGUACCUUGACGGUACCUCACCAGAAAGCCACGGCUAACUACGUGCCAGCAGCCGCGGUAAUACGUAGGUGGCAAGCGUUGUCCGGAAUUAUUGGGCGUAAAGCGCGCGCAGGCGGUCCCUUAAGUCUGAUGUGAAAGCCCACGGCUCAACCGUGGAGGGUCAUUGGAAACUGGGGGACUUGAGUGCAGAAGAGGAAAGUGGAAUUCCACGUGUAGCGGUGAAAUGCGUAGAGAUGUGGAGGAACACCAGUGGCGAAGGCGACUUUCUGGUCUGUAACUGACGCUGAGGCGCGAAAGCGUGGGGAGCAAACAGGAUUAGAUACCCUGGUAGUCCACGCCGUAAACGAUGAGUGCUAAGUGUUAGGGGGUUUCCGCCCCUUAGUGCUGCAGCUAACGCAUUAAGCACUCCGCCUGGAGA